ACAACGGUAUAUUCAAGUUUCAAUGUGUGGUCAACAUACAACAGACUGUUACUGUUUAAUAUUUUAAAGUUCAAAAUAGGUUUAACUCAACAAGAAAACGUUAAUAAAUAGAAUCAGUACUGUUACGGGGAUGGUCUUGACUUGCAAUAGUGCCUUUUUAUAAUUGUGUAUCAUUCAUGGCAAAUAUAAACUCAUCGCAUAUCACACAUACUUCACCAUAUUAUAACGUUUCAAGAUAAAAUUAAGAUAUGUGUUCCAGUUCUGGAACAAAUGUUAGUGUCGUAAAAUUGCAGGAUGCAUUUUACCAAACGAGAAGCAAACAUAUCAGCCAUCGCAAAAAUAAACAUGUUUUCUUUUUGAGUGAAACAGUUUCAUUUCAUCGGCGAGGAAGGCCUAGUUUUAUAUUGUGUUUAAGGGUCAGGUGGCAGGAAACAAAAAUGAUUUUUUUCGUUUUCCGAAGGUCGGCAAUGCUACGGACUUAUAUUGCGCACUGAUUUCAUCGAAUUCCCUGCAGAAAAAAAAACUACCAGCCAGGUUAAAUGAUCCGAUGAACGAAAACGCUAUGCUGGAGUGAUGUAUCAGCUGAAAUUAUUCUUUUAAAAUUAGAAACAAAACAUGUUUAAAUAUAAAUAACGCUGAAAUUAAAAAAAAAAUCACGAUGUUUAUUUGUUUUCCCUCCUGAUCCCUCUUUUAUUCGAUACACCCAGAAAAAAAUUAAAACA